GUAUAAUUACCAGUUGAGUAGAUAUUUCAUCCGAUUGGUAGUCUCAGGAACUUAUUUGGAUGUCUCUCUCUGCAUGGAGGUUGGAGUCCCCAAACUUCCAAUUCCUCUCUCCUCUUUUUCUUUGCAUAUCUCUUGGAUCUCCUGCCCUGUAUCUCGUCCCUUUGUCUUAACUUUUAAAGGGCCAGACUCUCUGUACGUCAUCAGUUGAUAACCCAAUAGAAGCACUAGAGGUGUGGUUAUCUUCCAGAUCGCAAAUUAGUUAUUUGGUCUGUAGAGGGCAGUCUUGUCCCACUAAACAUACC